rnacentral:rRNA from 1 species
AUAUUCGGAACAUCUUCUUCAGAAGAUGCGGAAUAACGUGACAUAUUGUAUUCAGUUUUGAAUGUUUAUUUAACAUUCAAAUAUUUUUUGGUUAAAGUGAUAUUCCUUUUGAAAAUAAAGCAGUAUGCGAGCGCUUGACUAAAAAGAAAUUGUACAUUGAAAACUAGAUAAGUAAGUAAAAUAUAGAUUUUACCAAGCAAAACCGAGUGAAUAAAGAGUUUUAAAUAAGCUUGAAUUCAUAAGAAAUAAUCGCUAGUGUUCGAAAGAACACUCACAACCUUACCAAAUCUUGACAUCCUUUGACAACUCUAGAGAUAGAGCCUUCCCCUUCGGGGGACAAAGUGACAGGUGGUGCAUGGUUGUCGUCAGCUCGUGUCGUGAGAUGUUGGGUUAAGUCCCGCAACGAGCGCAACCCUUAAGCUUAGUUGCCAUCAUUAAGUUGGGCACUCUAAGUUGACUGCCGGUGACAAACCGGAGGAAGGUGGGGAUGACGUCAAAUCAUCAUGCCCCUUAUGAUUUGGGCUACACACGUGCUACAAUGGACAAUACAAAGGGCAGCGAAACCGCGAGGUCAAGCAAAUCCCAUAAAGUUGUUCUCAGUUCGGAUUGUAGUCUGCAACUCGACUACAUGAAGCUGGAAUCGCUAGUAAUCGUAGAUCAGCAUGCUACGGUGAAUACGUUCCCGGGUCUUGUACACACCGCCCGUCACACCACGAGAGUUUGUAACACCCGAAGCCGGUGGAGUAACCUUUUAGGAGCUAGCCGUCGAAGGUGGGACAAAUGAUUGGGGUGAAGUCGUAACAAGGUAGCCGUAUCGGAAGGUGCGGCUG